rnacentral:lncRNA from 1 species
CCUCUAAAACCAAUGUCGCUGCAGAGUAUUGACAGUACUCCAGGGACUGAGUACUGCCUCGUUUUACCUGCUUGUACAUCUUACUACUGCAGUACUCCACAGGGAGAUCAGGGCCAGGAGGGGCCCCCAGGACCCUUUGAGUAUGUGGACCCCCCAGAGGACCGGUACAUCAAAGGGGAUCAGGGACCUCCUGGGGUCAAAGGAGCAGCUGGAGUGCAGGGAGCACCGGGCCUGGACGCCCGUCCUGGGGUCAAAGGAGAGAAAGGCAUUGUGGGAUUUCCUGGUCUCAGAGUAAGUUCUGGGGAUUCUGGAUGUGAUUGAUCAGCAUUGAUCAGAUCUGAUGGAUCACAUCAUGUUCCUGUCUUUAGGGUGUAAUGGGUCGACCUGGUCCAGAGGGGGCGAGAGGUAUCAAGGUGGGUCAGAACCGCCUGUGGUCCAACUGUGGGUCUCAGCAGGUGAGACCCACAGUUUGUUUCAGUGACUUUCUGUGUUUUCAGGGACAAAAAGGGGAGCAAGGUCUGCCAGGCCUGUUUGGACAGGACGGGUCAAAGGUCGGUCUGUGGCUUUGAACUUGGUUCUGGUUCUGGAUGGGCUCCUGAACAGUUUGACACCGACCCAGAUUCUGAAGAUGCUUUUGUAAUGACAACAUAAAAACAGUUUUUCUGUCUCCGCUCAGGGCAUGAAGGGAGAUCAGGGCCUGAAGGGGCUCCCUCAGUCCAGGGACGUCACACUCGUUGGGAAGUCCGGGGACCCUGGGGCUCCUGGGUUUCCAGGUCCUCCAGGAAACAUGGGGCAUAUGGGGUUUCACGGUCCACCAGGACCCCGAGGUGCAUCAGUGCCGGGACCAAGAGGCGUUCCUGGGAUCAAAGGGUCUCAGGGGUAUAAAGGGGACAAAGGAGAUCCAGGUCAAAUGAUCACACAGGGAAAAACUCCAGGAGAACCUGGGAAACCAGGAUUUCCUGGAUACAAGGGGCUAAAGGGAGAACCAGGAAUUCCAGGUAUCUCUUUUCAACCUUUUCAGCUGAUCGAUAAUGUCAUCGACUUACAUGGAAAUUCAAAGCGAGACAUUUUAGAUAUCACUGAUCCAUCAGCAUCUUUUUGGCCUUCUCCAUAA